GACGAACGCUGGCGGCGUGCUUAACACAUGCAAGUCGAGCGGUAAGGCCCUUUCGGGGGUACACGAGCGGCGAACGGGUGAGUAACACGUGGGUGACCUGCCCUCAGCUCUGGGAUAAGCCUGGGAAACCGGGUCUAAUACUGGAUAUGACUCCAUGACGCAUGUUGUGGGGUGGAAAGCCUUGUGCGGCUGAGGAUGGGCCCGCGGCCUAUCAGCUUGUUGGUGGGGUGAGGCCUACCAAGGCGACGACGGGUAGCCGGCCUGAGAGGGCGACCGGCCACACUGGGACUGAGACACGGCCCAGACUCCUACGGGAGGCAGCAGUGGGGAAUCUUGCGCAAUGGGCGAAAGCCUGACGCAGCGACGCCGCGUGAGGGAUGACGGCCUGGUUAGUAACUAC
rnacentral:rRNA from 1 species